UUUUUUUUUUUUUUUUUUUAAUUUUAUAUAGUUCAAUUUCUUUCCUAAAUGGAUUGAUCAACCUCUUUCAUUAAAUUUGAAUAAUGUUAAGGAACUCGUAUUAAUCUUAGUAUACUGUUGAAGAAGAAGGAAGUUGACGAUUGGAAACAUCAUGAUAUUAUUUGAGAGUCAAAUUGUCAGGGCUUUAAUUUGGUUAUGUUGGACUCGAACAGCACAAAUCAUGUUAAUUUUCUUAUUUAAUUGCUUAGGGUAAGGUCAUAAUCAAACCAAAAGGAAUUAUGGUGAAUAUUCACACCCACAUAGUUAGAUUAUAAAAUGAUUGUGCUAAAAAACACAUUGAUGCUACAUAUACAUUACAAGGGAAAAACUUGAUUACAUACGCCAAGAAUGAUAUCUUAGACAUUCGAUCCUUUUCUAAUUGUCAUCAUGCAUCUAUUGGCCUUGGUUGACAAAUAUAAAAAUGAUAUCUUCUGCCUUCUAAUUGAACCUUGUCCACAUUUUCGUAUAUAAAAAUACGAAACAUCUUCGAUGUCAAUUAUCAAAAUUAAAUUAUAUUGCACCAUGUACGUCGGCAGUUAGGCUUUUUUCAACUUGGCUGUAUGCUCUUCUUCUUGUUCAUAUUAAUAUGAUACAAAAAUUAGUAAUGUCGUAAGUUUACUAUAAUAAUGGGUAAAGUUUUAUGACCACACACAUGAAAUUUAACAUGCUGCAAAAAUAGUGACAUCAAGAUUGUAAAAAAUGGAUAUGGAACAAGAGUAGUGGUUAAUAGGUAAUAGGUAAAAAAAAUAAAUUGUCCUUUCUUGAUUUGUCAAAAUAGACAAGUAAUUAGGAACAAAUGGAGUAACACCAUAGUAAUUAAUGUGACCUGAUAUUACAGUAUUAAUGGUUGAGCAUGGGCGGUGCCUUGUUACGAUAUAUUUAAGCAUUUUGGAUGUACGUGCGUACCGAAAAAAUCAUAGUUUUUUGGUUUGUUUAUAAUAUACUCUCCGUCCCAUAUUAAAUGAGCAUAUUAUUAAAAUUCGCUGUUUCAUAUUAAUUAAUUAAUUACUAAAUUAGGAUAGAAUUAAUUAAAAAAAUUCUAUCUUAUGUACCUACUAUUAAUAUAGCCUUUUGAAUAUAAACAAUUUUCAAUACUAAUUAUUUCUAAUAAAAUUGAUUAAUUUAUUAAUAAUUUCUUAAUUAUAAUAUAAAACAGAAAGUGUCCCUCUAACAAGGGAUAGAGAGAGUGUACCACACAACAAACCACCUUGAGAAGUUAAAGAUAUGAUGUAAUGUAAGCAUCAAAUAUAAAGUAUGAUGAAGCACAUGGUGCAACCUCCUCUCAACUUUGGGAUUUUAUUUUCCAAGUAUGGUGGCAUGUAAGAUAUUGUACGUAUAAAAUGAAAUUUUUCUUACGCACAGAUAAAUGGAGUUAUCUUUCCUUUCCGUUAAUUUUCGUUAUAUUUCUUGGGUUUGUCUUAUCAGAUUACCACUUACAAUAGAAUUAGGAUAAAGAUAUAGAUGAACGACACACAAAAGCAAUUAUUUACUUUAGUAAUGCAUUAUCUACGGCGCAUAAAAUUUGUAUGUUGAAACUUGAGGACUUUAUGAAGUGGCAUAGCUCUUACUCAUGGCCACGAAUGUCUGAUUAGGCGGGAAAAAAAGCAAUUCAGCCUUCCACAUGGGCUGCACUCUUACAUUCAUUUUUCAUUGGACAUAAUAGUACAUUUCUUUUAACUUUUUAAACGACAUAAGUAGAUACUUAAAUUUAUAUAAAUUUGAAUAAAAUAGAUAUAUACGUGGUGUUAUAAGUAAUAUAAGAUGCAUAUGUCUAUUUGUUCAACUUUAUACAAGUUCAAGUGUCUACUUAUGCAUACUCAAAAUUAAAUGACAUAAAUACCAUGAAAUCAAGUUAAAUGACAUGUUUAUAACCUUUUUGGAUUGACUUCUAAUUUAUUUUGACUUAAAACUAAGUGCUUAAAAAUAUUCUUUCACAUUAUUAGAACAAAAUAAAAAUACUUUGAUUUAUAAAAACACUUGAAAUAAGUCAAUCCAAAUAUGAUGUAUUUCUUUCUCUUCUACAUUUUUUCUUUCUUAUGUGUAGAGGUGUAAAUAUUUUUUUGAAUAAUGAAGUUACCCAAAAGAUUUUGGUAUCCCUUUCUAAAAUACUGUUUAUAAUAAUGAAAAACUAAAUAAAGUACUUAAUACCAGUGGCGGAGCCACAUGAGGUUGACCGACACCCCUCCGUCGAAAAAUUACAUUGUGUAGCUAGACUAAAAAUAUUUUUUUAUGUAUAUAUAUUACAUAUUGACACUCCUUGAUAUCUACGCGAUUUUACUUCUUUAUAUUUUGACACCCCUUUGUCAAAGUUCUGGCUCCGCUAUUGCUUAAUACAAAGUGUAAAAUACCCGGUGAUGUAUAUACAUAUAAAACAGCUUAUAUAUUAACAUAUGUGCAUUUAUUUAGACUUCAAAAAUUUGGCGGGCGUAUUGUAUUUCUCCUUUUAACUGCUUAUGGUGAGUCAACUACUCACGCAGAUUACAAAAGAUAAUCUCAAAUUAUGCACAUAAAAACUCUUGAGGAGAUAUUCAAUCCUUUAAUAAUUGUCAUCAAUAAGGCAUUACUUGACAAAUAAAAAUGAUCCAAGCCACACGCCACUAAACCUUGUCUACACUUUAAUAUUAUUUAUUUACAAAAACUGCUAAUAUUAUCUCAACCAACCAUCAUCUUUAAUUAGUACACUUGCUGUUUUCUUUUUCCUAUAGUGCUCUCUCUUCAUGCAGCUUUUUUAAUCAAGAAAACAGAGAUUCCCAGGCCACAUGGAUACCAAUUCUUGAAAGUGUCCAAAAAAUUGGCCGACUUUGGUCAAUUGAGUUCACAUGCAAAAGUUGGUAUAUUUUGUGCUUGCCGGCAACAAUAACUUUUGACGGAUUGUAGGCCAAAAAACUGUCUUCAAUUCUUAUAGAUAAAAAAAAAUAACAGCUAGAAUGGUGAUCAUCAAGCUUGUUAAGAAUGGUAAUGGACCAUAGGCUAAAACGCCACUGCUACUAAUCAAUGAAACGUUACUGCCACCACCAGGGUAUUGUCCUCCAGAUGAUUUCUGACUGCAACAUUAAUAACAUCAUUAUAUAUUAUCAAAUUAAUAUUUUUAUUAAGGUGACAUAAUAUAACAUGGACGGUGCCUCGAUUUGUUAGGGACAUAAGUAAGCACUUUGAAUCUACUACCUAACAUGAAAACCAUAUAGAUAUUUUUUAUUAAAAUAUAUAGGACACAACAAACCGACUAUAGGAAGAAAGGCUUAUGUAUGGUACAACGCACAUGGGACCCAAUUAAUACCCCACCUUACUCUUAACUUAAGGUUUGCUUCAAAUGAAACCAACAAUAUAAUCCUUUUUUGGUGUGACCCACUAUAGAUUAUCAAAAGGUACGUAAAUGCACCCAUUUCCGACAACUUCAAUUACAUCAUCCUCAAAACAUUUGCAACCAUGUUACUUGUUCAACAAAUGUCCACCUAAAAAAGCUCUUUUGCAUGCAUAUUACUAUAUUUUUUACUUAAUCAUGCACAUCGGAUACAUUGAUUAAAGUGUAUCGUAGAAAUGUUAAUAAUAUCAAUAGUUAAAUGUAUUUAUAUAACUAAACUCUUAAAAAGUUGUUUUAAUUUCUAUCAAACAUCCUAUGUUUAUUGCGUAUAAAGGUCUAAUUAAAACUCCAAACCUUAACCCAUGUUCAUAUAUAGGAGAAAGAGAAAUUAGUUGAAAAUACUAAUAACCCCAAAACAUUUUUAAAAACUAACCAAACUUCAUGAUCGACAAAUAAUGAAAAUUUUCAAAAAUCUAUGUAUAAAUUUAAUCCAAAUUCUACGGGCGAAUGGACAAGCUUAAGUUAAUACAAAUUGAGAAAAGAAGAUUGGAGAAAGAGAGUGUAUGUACCUAGUUGAAGGAGCAGGACAAAAUGUGAUGACAUAAUCUGCAGAAGCACAAGUGAAGGUGCUGGUUCCAUCAUCAUAUGCAUAGCUGUAUGCGCGUGGGCAUGAAUUCUUGAAGAAUUCCGAGUAAUCAGUUGGCUUGCAUGUAUCAGGCGUAGCAUAGGCCCCACUACAACAAUAUCUUGGAUCCCCAAACGCUUCACACGCGCUUUUACACGCCACGCACUCAUCGGCACCUUCACCGGUACUCAUCAGCUUCAGCUCCGCCGGACAUGGCCCAUUAAGAUCAACAACACACCCAGUUGCAGAACAGUUUCCGGAACCAGUUCCACCUUGUGGGGUUAUUAACAUGGGCAAGUUAUAACCAUCCACAAGACUAACAUCAUAGAAGUCGAGCCCGUCGGCGCCGUUGAGUGUGAACUCCGCUAAAGUCGCCGGUGGAGCAGCUCCGCCGGUGCACUCUAGUGUUCCGGAGCCGCAAUCACCUGUUACGCAAGUGAAUUUACCCGUUGCCGAAUCUUGGGAGCAAAAAGACCGACCCCAUAAACGACCUGACCAACCCGCCGGAAAAGAAACGGGAAUGGCCUGUCCUGGAUUCAGCUGAAAUCCAGUAGGAGAAAUCGGGGAUGUUCCAGCACCGGAUAAUAUCCCCGGCCAUACUGUAUAACUGCACUGGUUUACUAAUGUAAAUGUUGCUGAUGACACCCCUGUUUUUUUCCAAAAAAAAAUUAACAAAAAUGAAUACCAAAAAUUCAAACUUCAUAACAACAAUUAUCAAUCAGAACCAAAAACUUACCUGAAAUUAGGAAUACGAAACAUAAAGCGAGCAGGGGAAGAAGAAAAACUUGAGCUUUCUCCAUGGAAUUGAUGUUGCUCUGUUUUCUGUAAGUUAUUUGAAGAGAAUGAGAAAGAAUUAAUUUGGCAAUGUGGAGGAAUAACCAGUGAAAUGAAUCUUAGAAGUAUCAAUCAGGUUUUCGCAGUCAGAUAUUUAUAGGGAAAACUUAGAACCGACGUUAAAGGGAACACAACACCGCCAGAGGGUAAGGUCGGCUCCGCUCAAAAUGGGUUGUAAUAAAUUAAGAGAAGACAGCUUUGAGAGUAGCAGAGCUAAUUCGUAAUUUUGAAGGAUUAGUAAAAAUACUUGUAGUAAUGAGGAUGUGUUUAAAGAGCGGGAUUUAAAUAGAAUGUGGUUUAAGGUAAUUGCAGACUUUAAAAAGAAGUAAGGGAGGGACUUUUGGGAAUGGGGAAGGUCGGGAGUUAAUGACGGUUAAAUUCGACGGCCCUAUGGGCCUUGGGAAGAUAGGUAUGGGACCCGGCAAAUGACGGUCGGUUCAUCACUUGGUGGGACCCAUCAAUAUGAAAAGGUCAAAUAGGAUCCAUGACCUUUGGCAGAAGCAAGUUGAAACCACUUAAUUGAACCUCAGCCGCAAAGAUUCAUAUUGUUUUUGUUAUUCCGCUUCAAUUGAUUUCAUACAGAAUUUAACAAAAUAUAUGCUAUCACUAAAAUUGUUAUCUUAAAUUAAAUAAUAUUUGGAAUUUAGAAUAUAUCAAAUAUUCUUUUUAUCCUUCAAAUUUUAAAUUUGACAUUUGAAAAGUUGAAAUUAAAAAAAAAACAAAAAACAAAAUGGAUCGGAGGGAGUAGACAAAUAGUAUUUCUAAUAUGUUUUCACGCUUUCUGUAAUUAUGUCCCAAAUAUAAAAAUCGAAAUGGAGAAGAGGUUGAUAGUUGAUACUCUCUUCAAUUUAAAAAAAAUGUUACUACAGUAUUUCAAUUAUAGAAGUUUUUUUUUUAAAAAAAAAAAAAAGUUGUGGGGGGGUGNNNNNNNNNNNNNNNNNNNNNNNNNNNNNNNNNNNNNNNNNNNNNNNNNNNNNNNNNNNNNNNNNNNNNNNNNNNNNNNNNNNNNNNNNNNNNNNNNNNNNNNNNNNNNNNNNNNNNNNNNNNNNNNNNNNNNNNNNNNNNNNNNNNNNNNNNNNNNNNNNNNNNNNNNNNNNNNNNNNNNNNNNNNNNNNNNNNNNNNNNNNNNNNNNNNNNNNNNNNNNNNNNNNNNNNNNNNNNNNNNNNNNNNNNNNNNNNNNNNNNNNNNNNNNNNNNNNNNNNNNNNNNNNNNNNNNNNNNNNNAGGGGGGGGGGGGGGGGGGGGGGGUGAUUUUAAAAACAUACUAAUAAUUAUGGUCAUUAAAUAGCAAAAAUGAGCAAAAGUUGGAAAAACAGAUUACAUAGGCCAAAGAUAGAAUCAAUAAUAAAAAAAAAUAUAAAACUAAGAUGUUUUCACUGUGGCCAAAAAAAUUGAAAAAGGAAACGCAAAGUGGAUGCUUAUAUCGUCUACUAUAUAUAAUACAGUUUAAUAGUAGGCGUUAGCUAGUUGAAAGCUGUAAUUGUAUAUGAAAAAGUAUCGAAGAGCACAUGUGAUUCUGAUUCCUCCUCCUGCAAGUAUGGGUUAACUUUUAGGUACGAUGCAAAGCAAAAAAAGACCGGCUAUUAAAACACAAUACUUGUCGCACUAUUUCCAAAGGGAAUAAUCACUACAAACCAUUCAAUCAAAAGAUUUACCAUUAUUCAUUAAGCAUUUGCAAAACUAUAUACUGUUUACAGUCAAUGAUUCUAUUAAGCUCUAUUUGGGAUCAAGAAAGUGGACCACAAAAAGUGAAAAUAAACCAAUUGUAUGUGUUGUGUUGAUUAAACCCAAGUUACAUACUAACUUUGCAAUAAAAGUGUUCCACACAUAAACACAGAGACAUAAGAGCUUCCACUUCACCUUCCAGUUUUUGAAUCUAGAGGGAAAAAAACAGAAGGCAGAAAAGCCCUCUGGUGAAGCACCAUAGUAUCUUGAAUCACUCGUAAUAUAAAUCAGUCCAAUUAUUAGCUCAAAUCUAUACUUCCUGGGAGAACCUUUUUUUUUUUUAUGACAAGGAAAACCCGCAGCCGCUACCCUUUGGGUGCGCAUAGGAUAAAACCCCUGCUCCUAUUCAAUAGCUCGCAAACUACUUCUUGGGAGAACUUGAACAAGAAAUGAAUUCAAACACUGAAUUAGCAAAACACGUCAGCCGUUUAAAUGUCUACGAUAGUAGACACUUCACCACUAGCCCAAAUUUGACCCUGGCCGGGAAGAAUUUCAAGGAUAGAUGCACUAGACAAACUAAUAUGAAGAUUCAAGGAUUCAAGUCAGUUACCUCCUCCACAAGGAUGAAAACUUGGUUUAAAAACUUCACAUGUAAGGAUUACGAAGGAGAAGCAAGCUGAGAGGCAUGGGGGAGUUCAGCUGGAACAAGAAAGCUAAUUCUCAUUUCCUCAAGACAGUGAUCAGAUAAACAAUCACAAUGAAGUAAGAGAAGCCGGAUACCACUUUCAAUCGGGAAUUUCAUGGGAGUAGAUUUGCAAGUUCUAGAUUCAAUAAUUCGCAUUAGACCCGAUGAUUUCAGCUAGCUAUUUAUCUUAAGCGAAGUUCCAAAACUUUGUUUGAAGAAAACUGAUGGGUUCUAGUAUUAGCUAAUUUCUAACUUUCACUAUUUCACUAGCACUUGAACUGUUCAAUAGAGAAUCCAAAUUGCAUCUUCACGCAGAAACCAUAAAGGCUAGACUAGUGCAUCUUCCCAUGCAACCAUUUAUGACCAGAAAAUGUCAUAAAUCUUAAUCAUUCCAUGACCAAAACGACGAAGAGGCAGAACUAAAACAGCCUACAAGAAAGUGCAGUCUAUAAAAUCCUUCAAGGACACCAUGACAGACCGAGCACAACUCUGCCUUCAAGAAGUGAUUUGCUUAACUCAAACCCCGAGCCCUAAUCCCUUCUUAUCUGAAACAAAACUACUGGCUUCAUACACCAAUAGCCAAAGAGCAUGAGGAUUCCUUACACUAAAGAACAUCAUUAAAGUUUACAUUUAGUCCCUGAACUACAAACCCUUUCCAUAUAAUUUUAGAAAGAUGUGCAAAAGUAAAAAUAAAGCAAACAGACCUAAAUAAGCCAAUUGACAAAGAAAGCGAGAUUAUUAGUAUAAACGUUGUCUCGUUAUUCACGACUCUGAUAAUAUGACCAGAGAGUUCUGGCACCAUGCUACUAUAGAAUUUGAAAGACCAGAAUAUUCAACAAAAGGACAUUAUGGAACCACAAGUCUCUCUCACAUGAUCAAUCAAGCAUUAUCAGUCUCUCUCACAUGAUCAAUAAAGUAAUUAAAAAGUCUAAAAAGGGAAAAUGGUUCUAUUUCAAUCAACUAUACUCCAAUUAUUCAAUCCCAAGCUAGUUAAGAUCAAAUGUUAUUUUAAAACUAACCUUCGCAGAAAUUUAUUCCCCAGCUAAUUCUGAAAAAUUGAACAUCAUUUGGCACCAACUAAUAAAUGCACCCGGUGCAUGAAAUAUCCGACAUUAAAAGGUCCAUCAUCCAUGAAAUGGACACAUCCCAAGGAGAUGUAAUGUGGACAACCUACCUUGAUGCAAGCAUAAGUGGUUGAUUCUAGGGCUCAAACCAGUAACAUAUAUAGGUCACGGAGACAACUCACCACUACUAUGCGAUGCAAGCAUAAGUUCUCUCACUAUCACUAGAUCAAAUCGUUUCUUCCAUAUCUUUCACGUCACCAAUAAGUCAUUCUAAGUGUUGUUUCAAUAUAUUAUUUCAUCCUUCCAUUUCAGUCGUUUUUACAUGUUUAUUUGUUCAGCAUUCCAACUUUUUUCAGAAGUAAGAUGGCAAUAACGUUAACAGGUGAUAAUUUUCAGUGUAAAAGGGAUUGGAACUACAAGGGAUGUGGAGAGAGAUUUGGACUCUAUGACAUUUUUUUUUCCGAGAUAGAUCGAAUGGAAUAACAAAUUUUAGAAAGAAUCCUAACUUCAAUAAGAACAGAACUGUUAGCAUAGGACACUUUGCUAGAUUACUUGUUUGAAGACAACUCUUUUCAUAAACGACAACUCUUAUUAUAAAAGGAAAAGAUCACGAGCACCCUUUAGCUAAAGCAACACACUAGAAGCCAAUGAAAAUGCUGAUUUGUAAAUCCUAACUUCAACAAGAACAGAACAGUUAGCUUAGGAUACUUUGCUAGAUUACUUGUUUGAAGAUGACUCUUCUAAUAUAGGACAAACUCUUUUUUAUAAAAAGAAAAGAUCACGAGCACUAUUUUCCGAAAGCAACACAUUAGAAGCCAAUGAAAAUGCUGAUUUGGAAAUUAAACCAGUGUUCAAAUUUGGAAUGAGGUGGGAUAUGUCUAUUAGGCAAUUAAAAGAAUUUCCAAUUGGCAUCUAAAUAGAAAACACUAGUUUGAAUAUUUGAACACUAGUAGGGGUAAGGCUAGGUACACACCACCCUCCCAGACCUAUUGGCUAUGUUGUUGUUGUUGUUGUUGUUAGUUUGAACAACUUCUCAACAAACAAACAAGACAAAUACAAGUAUAAACACAAGCAGUGAAGAGAAAGAUUCCACAUAGAGGGCAAUUACGUAGGACAAGCUUAGUAUCAGGCUCACACAACUGAAGUCACCUAACUUAAUCAGCAUCAUGUGAAUUCUCAUGUUUUCCCCAUGAAGCACAAAUAUAUAUAUAUAUAUAUUGUAUAUGGUAUCAUAAUUAUUAUAAGCAUAAAAGAUUUGCUUAAAGUGCAAGAAUUGAACCUUCAGCUUUUUUAUAUACUUGUAUAUAAACCAUCAACUAAAACUUUGCAUCCCAAGAACAUGAAUUCAAACAGCUCUGUAGAGCUACUCCGAAAGCACAACCGGCCAUAUAGCUAAUCAAAGAACAACUGGAAAAACAUGUCACUGCUAAGAAAAUGAGUACUAAGAGGAUAGAGAGAAAAAAGAGAAAGAUCAUGUACAUGAUCAGUUCACGGACUGGCUAGUGCAUUCCCUAGCAAAGUGGCCCGCCUCUCCACAGUUGUAACACUUGCUUCCUCCACUACCACCACCAGAUCUUCCAAAAUUACUACCACCGCCACCUCCCCCACCGGGACAGUCUCUUGCCAAGUGUCCUUGUGCACCGCAUGUAUAACAAGCACCACCACCUCCACCGCCACGGCCGCCAACACGACCAGCACUCGGGCAAUCUCGAGCCAUGUGGCCAUACCCACCGCAAGUGUAACAGACACCAUCACUUGCUCCUCCACCACCACCGCCACUACUACGGUCACAAUCCCUAGCUAAAUGUCCAGCCGCACCACAGUUAUAACACCCGCCUCUGCCACCACCUCCACCUCCACUGUUGCGAUCACAGUCCCUAGCCAAAUGUCCCGUCCUUCCACAGUUAUAACACUCACCGGCGCUACGAUAUCCACCAUCAUUGCCGUUCCUCCGAUAACCACCAUCAUCACCACCAUGACCGUAACCCCCACCCCCACGACUGUUACUGUUUCCCCUGCCAUUACGGCCACUAUCGAGAGGAGCACCAUCAGGCCCAGUGACAUCAAUAGCCUGAUACUUAUCUCCCUUCACAGUCAUGGUGAACUCCACUUUCUGGCCUUCGUAGAGAGAACGGUAGCCAUCAGAUUUGAUCUCUGAUUGAUGAACGAACAGAUCUUCGGAUCCAUCAUCAGGUUUGAUGAAACCGUAACCCUUUGGGUUAUUGAACUUGGAAACUGUCCCUGUCAUUCUCGACGCCUCCACCGCCAUUCUUAACCGAUCUGUUGAUCAGAACUCCGCAAAACCCUUGAGAAUGUUCUAAUUCUAUGACAGAUUUUUUUAUAAAGGGAAGCCUAGGGGAAACCCUAAAUAGGGUUUCUGCGUCUAAAACCGUUUUAAAAGGCGGCGUUAGCGCUUUUCGGUUAGGUUUGGAUCUUAGUUUGUUGUAAAUUUAUCUAAUGUUAUUUAUUUAUUUAUUGUUUCGUGAUAGGAAUAGUUGGAAAAAAAAAUUCAUAAUGUUUCAAAAAUUGAAAUUGAGAGCAUGGUAAGAGAUUACAAACUAGAAAAUCGAAUCUGUGAAAGUUUCAGUAAUCAAUAAAUUGAAUCACUAUGAUUUUUCUAAAAAGUCAAUUGGUCUAUAGAUGUUGAUAAAUACUGCUGUAAAAAAGAUGGCCAAUGUUUCAAAUAAUGGCAAUUUGCUGUUGAAUAAAAGAAAAACCACACUAUAAAGAUUUUGGUGUAUUAUUUUUUAUCUUUUACGUGUAAAAACAAAUAUCUUUUAUAAGAAACGUAAAUAAUAAAUUCAUAAGGAACUAUAAAACUAAUUGACCCAUACCUCAACAAGGAUAUUGUAGUUAUGAAAAUAAAAAAACAAGAGAUUGUGAUUGGGUUGAUUCAGCUAUAUGUUAUUGAGACCCAGACCCUCAAAAUUGAACUUUUUAGAGGGACAAAUGCGAAUAUACUGAUUCAUUAAAAGAUACAGAUGAAAGAUUUAAAAAGGGAAGUCCCAAAAAAUGAAAUUAAAAUUUCAAAGGAAAAAUUUACCUAUCUACAUGGAUGCAGGGGGAGAGAAGCAUAAAGUUGGUGGCUCAUAUUUGUACAAAGAAAAGUAAAAAUAUUUAGUAGACUU
rnacentral:lncRNA from 1 species